CUGAUGCAGCGACGCCGCGUGAGGGAUGACGGCCUUCGGGUUGUAAACCUCUUUCAAUAGGGACGAAGCGCAAGUGACGGUACCUAUAGAAGAAGCACCGGCCAACUACGUGCCAGCAGCCGCGGUAAUACGUAGGGUGCGAGCGUUGUCCGGAAUUACUGGGCGUAAAGAGCUCGUAGGUGGUUUGUCGCGUUGUUCGUGAAAACUCACAGCUCAACUGUGGGCGUGCGGGCGAUACGGGCAGACUGGAGUACUGCAGGGGAGACUGGAAUUCCUGGUGUAGCGGUGGAAUGCGCAGAUAUCAGGAGGAACACCGGUGGCGAAGGCGGGUCUCUGGGCAGUAACUGACGCUGAGGAGCGAAAGCGUGGGGAGCGAACAGGAUUAGAUACCCUGGUAGUCCACGCCGUAAACGGUGGGUACUAGGUGUGGGUUUCCUUCCUUGGGAUCCGUGCCGUAGCUAACGCAUUAAGUACCCCGCCUGGGGAGUACGGCCGCAAGGCUAAAACUCAAAGAAAUUGACGGGGGCCCGCACAAGCGGCGGAGCAUGUGGAUUAAUUCGAUGCAACGCGAAGAACCUUACCUGGGUUUGACAUGCACAGGACGCCGGCAGAGAUGUCGGUUCCCUUGUGGCCUGUGU
rnacentral:rRNA from 1 species